CGGGUGAGUAACGCGUGGGUAACCUGCCUCAUACAGGGGGAUAGCAGCUGGAAACGGCUGGUAAUACCGCAUAAGCGCACGGUAUCGCAUGAUACAGUGUGAAAAACUCCGGUGGUAUGAGAUGGACCCGCGUCUGAUUAGCUAGUUGGUGAGGUAACGGCCCACCAAGGCGACGAUCAGUAGCCGACCUGAGAGGGUGACCGGCCACAUUGGGACUGAGACACGGCCCAGACUCCUACGGGAGGCAGCAGUGGGGAAUAUUGCACAAUGGAGGAAACUCUGAUGCAGCGACGCCGCGUGAGUGAAGAAGUAGUUCGCUAUGUAAAGCUCUAUCAGCAGGGAAGAUAGUGACGGUACCUGACUAAGAAGCUCCGGCUAAAUGCGUGCCAGCAGCCGCGGUAAUACGUAUGGAGCAAGCGUUAUCCGGAUUUACUGGGUGUAAAGGGAGUGUAGGUGGCCAGGCAAGUCAGAAGUGAAAGCCCGGGGCUCAACCCCGGGACUGCUUUUGAAACUGCAGGGCUAGAGUGCAGGAGGGGCAAGUGGAAUUCCUAGUGUAGCGGUGAAAUGCGUAGAUAUUAGGAGGAACACCAGUGGCGAAGGCGGCUUGCUGGACUGUAACUGACACUGAGGCUCGAAAGCGUGGGGAGCAAACAGGAUUAGAUACCCUGGUAGUCCACGCCGUAAACGAUGAUUGCUAGGUGUAGGUGGGUAUGGACCCAUCGG
rnacentral:rRNA from 1 species